rnacentral:miRNA from 4 species
AUUCUGCAUUUUUAGCAAGUU